GGCGGACGGGUGAGUAAUGCCUAGGAAUCUGCCUGGUAGUGGGGGAUAACGUUCGGAAACGGACGCUAAUACCGCAUACGUCCUACGGGAGAAAGCAGGGGACCUUCGGGCCUUGCGCUAUCAGAUGAGCCUAGGUCGGAUUAGCUAGUUGGUGAGGUAAUGGCUCACCAAGGCGACGAUCCGUAACUGGUCUGAGAGGAUGAUCAGUCACACUGGAACUGAGACACGGUCCAGACUCCUACGGGAGGCAGCAGUGGGGAAUAUUGGACAAUGGGCGAAAGCCUGAUCCAGCCAUGCCGCGUGUGUGAAGAAGGUCUUCGGAUUGUAAAGCACUUUAAGUUGGGAGGAAGGGUUGUAGAUUAAUACUCUGCAAUUUUGACGUUACCGACAGAAUAAGCACCGGCUAACUCUGUGCCAGCAGCCGCGGUAAUACAGAGGGUGCAAGCGUUAAUCGGAAUUACUGGGCGUAAAGCGCGCGUAGGUGGUUUGUUAAGUUGGAUGUGAAAUCCCCGGGCUCAACCUGGGAACUGCAUUCAAAACUGACUGACUAGAGUAUGGUAGAGGGUGGUGGAAUUUCCUGUGUAGCGGUGAAAUGCGUAGAUAUAGGAAGGAACACCAGUGGCGAAGGCGACCACCUGGACUAAUACUGACACUGAGGUGCGAAAGCGUGGGGAGCAAACAGGAUUAGAUACCCUGGUAGUCCACGCCGUAAACGAUGUCAACUAGCCGUUGGAAGCCUUGAGCUUUUAGUGGCGCAGCUAACGCAUUAAGUUGACCGCC
rnacentral:rRNA from 6 species